rnacentral:rRNA from 1 species
AGAACGAACGCUGGCGGCAGGCUUAACACAUGCAAGUCGAACGGUUGUAGCAAUACAGCAGUGGCGCACGGGUGAGUAACGCGUGGGAACAUACCUUUCAGUUCGGGAUAACAGCGGGAAACUGCUGCUAAUACCGAAUAUUCUCUCCGGAGGAAAGAUUUAUCGCUGAAAGAUUGGCCCGCGUCAGAUUAGCUAGUUGGUGGGGUAAUGGCCUACCAAGGCUCCGAUCUGUAGCUGGUCUGAGAGGACGACCAGCCACACUGGAACUGAGACACGGUCCAGACUCCUACGGGAGGCAGCAGUGGGGAAUAUUGGACAAUGGGCGAAAGCCUGAUCCAGCCAUGCCGCGUGAAUGAUGAAGGCCUUAGGGUGUAAAGUUCUUUGUCAGGAAGAUAAUGACGGUACCUGAAGAAUAAGCACCGGCUAACUUCGUGCCAGCAGCCGC